rnacentral:tRNA from 3 species
GGCCCAUUAGUUUAACGGAUAAAACCCUUGAGUCCUAAUCAAAAGUUGCCUGUUCGAUUCAGGCAUGGGCUA